rnacentral:rRNA from 1 species
AUGUGUGUACCAAAAAACCAAGGUGGAAUGGGAUUCCGUGAUAUCCACUAUUUCAACCUGGCUUUGCUCACCAAACAAGCAUGGCAUCUUAUUGAUAAUCCCGACUCCUUGUGUGCCACUAUUUUGAGGGCCAUGUAUUACCGUGAUGGCGAUUUGCUGAUGUCUAAGCCAAAACAUGGUGCUUCUUUCACCUGGCAGAGCAUUAUGGCAGGUAUGACUACUCUGAAACGUGGCUAUAUUUGGCGAGUGGGUAACGGACAUAACAUCAAUAUGUGGGAAGAUGCCUGGAUCCCAAGCCGUGUCACUAGGAAGAUUGUGACCCCUAGGGGGAGCCAUCUGCUAUCAAAAGUGAUUGACCCUGCUUCCAACAAUCAGGACGAGGAACUGAUUAGACAAACUAUGUGGCCCAUUGACGCACAACAAUUUCUUUCAAUCCCACUUUCACAAUAUGUGUAG